rnacentral:rRNA from 1 species
GACGAACGCUGGCGGCGUGCUUAACACAUGCAAGUCGAACGGUAAGGCCCUUCGGGGUACACGAGUGGCGAACGGGUGAGUAACACGUGGGUGAUCUGCCCUGCACUUCGGGAUAAGCCUGGGAAACUGGGUCUAAUACCGGAUAGGACUCCGGACUGCAUGGUCUGGGGUGGAAAGCUUUUGCGGUGUGGGAUGGGCCCGCGGCCUAUCAGCUUGUUGGUGGGGUGAUGGCCUACCAAGGCGACGACGGGUAGCCGGCCUGAGAGGGUGACCGGCCACACUGGGAAUGAGAUACGGCCCAGACUCCUACGGGAGGCAGCAGUCGGGAAUAUUGCACAAUGGGCGCAAGCCUGAUGCAGCGACGCCGCGUUAGGGAUGACGGCCUUCGGGUUGUAAACCUCUUUCAGCAUCGACGAAGCGAAAGUGACGGUAGGUGCAGAAGAAGGACCGGCCAACUACGUGCCAGCAGCCGCGGUAA